CCGUGGGGAUUCGUCUCCAUCGAGAUAGCACCCUUUGUUCAUGAGUACCAUUUGUUUCCUCGGCGGGUCUGUCUGGACCCGCCGCUAGGACCCCCCUAAAAAACCUUUGUAGUUGCAGUACCUUCAGUUGGUAAACAAAAUAUCA
rnacentral:misc_RNA from 1 species